GUAGGGUGCGAGCGUUAUCCGGAAUCAUUGGGCGUAAAGAGCUCGUAGGCGGUUCAGCAAGUCGGCUGUGAAAUUCCGAGGGCUCAACCUCGGAACUGCAGUCGAUACUGCUGUGACUCGAGUCCGGUAGAGGAGAAUGGAAUUCCCGGUGUGGCGGUGAAAUGCGCAGAUAUCGGGAGGAACACCAGUAGCGAAGGCGGUUCUCUGGGCCGGCACUGACGCUGAGGAGCGAAAGCGUGGGUAGCAAACAGGAUUAGAUACCCUGGUAGUCCACGCCGUAAACGUUGGAUACUAGGUGUGGCGUUCCGACCAACGGUCGCCGUGCCGAAGCUAACGCAUUAAGUAUCCCGCCUGGGGAGUACGGCCGCAAGGCUA
rnacentral:rRNA from 1 species